ensembl:snRNA U6 U6 spliceosomal RNA
GUGCACUUGAUUCCGUAGCACAAAUACUAAAAUUGGAACAACAGAGAUUAGCAUGGCCCCUGCAAAUUUGUGAAGCAUUCCCAAUUUUU